UCUGUUCUGUUCUCCUAAAGGUCUGUCUGUCUGUUCUGUUCUCCUAAAGGUCUGUCUGUUCUGUUCUCCUAAAGGUCUGUCUGUCUGCUCUGUUCUCCUAAAGGUCUGUCUGUUCUGUUCUGUUCUCCUAAAGGUCUGUCUGUCUGUUCUGUUCUCCUAAAGGUCUGUCUGUUCUGUUCUGUUCUCCUAAAGGUCUGUCUUUCUGCUCUGUUCUCCUAAAGGUCUGUCUGUCUGUUCUGUUCUCCUAAAGGUCUGUCUGUCUG